UACGAAGGGGGCUAGCGUUGUUCGGAAUUACUGGGCGUAAAGGGCUCGUAGGCGGUUUGUCGCGUCGGGAGUGAAAUCCACUGGCUUAACUGGUGGCUUGCUUUCGAUACGGGCAGACUGGAGGUAUGCAGGGGAGAACGGAAUUCCUGGUGUAGCGGUGAAAUGCGCAGAUAUCAGGAGGAACACCGGUGGCGAAGGCGGUUCUCUGGGCAUGUCCUGGCGCUGAGGAGCGAAAGUGUGGGGAGCGAACAGG
rnacentral:rRNA from 1 species